CAGAAAUGGCCUUACAAUUUCUGAAGCUCCCCAUUGCCAUGACCCGCGGGUUGGGUUACGACAGAACCUUUCUUUUCUUUUCUCAAUCUAAGACCCUGAAGCACCGUGAGAGAUGGGUCACUGUUCAAAUUCCUGGUUCCUUCCGGAGCUAUGCUGCUGCAAAAUCAGAAAAGCUUCAACCGGUGAAAA